rnacentral:rRNA from 1 species
GAUGAACGCUGGCGGCGUGCCUAAUACAUGCAAGUAGAACGCUGAAGGAAGGAGCUUGCUCUUUCCGGAUGAGUUGCGAACGGGUGAGUAACGCGUAGGUAACCUGCCUGGUAGCGGGGGAUAACUAUUGGAAACGAUAGCUAAUACCGCAUAACAGUAGAUGUUGCAUGAUAUCUACUUAAAAGGUGCAAUUGCACCACUACCAGAUGGACCUGCGUUGUAUUAGCUAGUUGGUGAGGUAACGGCUCACCAAGGCGACGAUACAUAGCCGACCUGAGAGGGUGAUCAGCCACACUGGGACUGAGACACGGCCCAGACUCCUACGGGAGGCAGCAGUAGGGAAUCUUCGGCAAUGGACGGAAGUCUGACCGAGCAACGCCGCGUGAGUGAAGAAGGUUUUCGGAUCGUAAAGCUCUGUUGUAAGAGAAGAACGAGUGUGAGAGUGGAAAGUUCACAAUGUGACGGUAUCUUACCAGAAAGGGACGGCUAACUACGUG